rnacentral:lncRNA from 1 species
AAAGAAAAGCAGCCGGCCCCUACCAGCAUUAUCACAAGGCGAUAAAGCAAGGGUCCAGCACCAUGUGAUGCCACUAACAAGUGUCGGCAAUCAAGGCCGACAAAAGAAGGUGGAUGUCAUAUUCAAGCAAGCUGGCCACAAGGAUGGAAUCCGAGGCCAACAACCAAGCAAUUAUAGAGGGGAUCAAACCUCUAUAUAAACCCAAGUGCUGGAGAGAAGAAGGGCAUCCGAAAAUCA